GACGAACGCUGGCGGCGUGCUUAACACAUGCAAGUCGAACGGUAAGGCCCUUCGGGGUACACGAGUGGCGAACGGGUGAGUAACACGUGGGUGAUCUGCCCUGCACUUCGGGAUAAGCCUGGGAAACUGGGUCUAAUACCGGAUAGGACCACUGCCUGCAUGGGUGGUGGUGGAAAGCGUUUGCGGUGUGGGAUGUGCCCGCGGCCUAUCAGCUUGUUGGUGGGGUGAUGGCCUACCAAGGCGACGACGGGUAGCCGGCCUGAGAGGGUGACCUGCAUCAAGGGGACAGAGGUACAGCACGGAGUGCUACGGGAGGCGGCGGUUGGGAAUAUGUCACGAUGGGCGAUAGCCUGAUGCAGGGACGCCGCGUGAGGGAUGACGGCCUUCGGGGUGUAUACCUCUUUCAGCACCGACGAAGCGCAGGUGACAGUAGGUGCAGCAGAAGGACCGACCAUCUACCUUCCAGCAGCCGCAGUAA
rnacentral:rRNA from 1 species